UACGAAGGGGGCUAGCGUUGUUCGGAUUUACUGGGCGUAAAGCGCACGUAGACGGAUCGUUAAGUCGGGGGUGAAAUCCUGGAGCUCAACUCCAGAACUGCCUUCGAUACUGGCGAUCUUGAGUCCGGAAGAGGUGAGUGGAACUCCUAGUGUAGAGGUGGAAUUCGUAGAUAUUAGGAAGAACACCAGUGGCGAAGGCGGCUCACUGGUCCGGUACUGACGCUGAGGCACGAAAGCGUGGGGAGCAAACAGG
rnacentral:rRNA from 1 species